AUUGAACGCUGGCGGCAGGCCCAACACAUGCAAGUCGAGCGAGCGGCGGACGGGUGAGUAAUUUCUGGGAAACUGCCUGAUGGAGGGGGAUAACUAAUGGAAACGGUAGCUAAUACCGCAUACCAUCAGCUGUGCCCAGAUGGGAUUAGAUAGUAGGUGUGGUAACGGCUCACAUAGGCGACGAUCCCUAUCUGGUCUGAGAGGAUUACCAGCAACACUGGAACUGAGACAAGGUCCAGAUUCCUACGGGAGGCAGCAGUGGGGAAUAUGGCGCAAUGGUCGCAAGUCUGAUGUAGCAACGCCGCGUGUAUGAAGAAGGCCUUCGGGUUGUAAAGUACUUUCAGCGGGGAUGCGGUACCCGAAGAAGAAGCACCGGCUAACUCCGUGCCAGCAGCCGCGGUAAUAC
rnacentral:rRNA from 1 species